rnacentral:rRNA from 1 species
GACGAACGCUGGCGGCGUGCUUAACACAUGCAAGUCGAGCGGAAAGGCCCUGCUGGGUUCGCGUGCGGGGAUCGCGUGAGUAACACGAGAGCAACAUUCACCUGACCUUGACAUAACGCUCAGAAACGGGAGCUAAUGCCAGUUACGACACAGAGCAGCAGCUGGUUUGUGUGGGUUGGAAUGCGUCGUCGGUUGGGGAUGGGCUCGCGGCCUAUCAGCUUGUUGGUGGGGUAAUGGCCUACCAAGGCGGCGACGGGUAGCCGGCCUGAGAGGGGGACCGGCCACACUGGGACUGAGACACGGCCCAGACUCCUACGGGAGGCAGCAGUGGGGAAUAUUGCACAAUGGGCGGAAGCCUGAUGCAGCGACGCCGCGUGAGGGAUGACGGCCUUCGGGUUGUAAACCGCUUUCGGCAGUGACGAAGCGUGAGUGACGGUACCUGGUAAAGAAGCGCCGGCCAACUACGUG